rnacentral:rRNA from 1 species
GACGAACGCUGGCGGCGUGCCUAAUACAUGCAAGUAGAACGCACAGGAUGCACCGUAGUUUACUACACCGUAUUCUGUGAGUUGCGAACGGGUGAGUAACGCGUAGGUAACCUGCCUGGUAGCGGGGGAUAACUAUUGGAGACGAUAGCUAAUACCGCAUAAGAACAUUUACUGCAUGGUAGAUGUUUAAAAGGUGCAAGAGCAUCACUACCAGAUGGACCUGCGUUGUAUUAGCUAGUUGGUGAGGUAACGGCUCACCAAGGCAACGAUACAUAGCCGACCUGAGAGGGUGAUCGGCCACACUGGGACUGAGACACGGCCCAGACUCCUACGGGAGGCAGCAGUAGGGAAUCUUCGGCAAUGGGGGGAACCCUGACCGAGCAACGCCGCGUGAGUGAAGAAGGUUUUCGGAUCGUAAAGCUCUGUUGUUAAGGAAGAACGUGUGUGAGAGUGGAAAGUUCA